rnacentral:lncRNA from 1 species
CUCACGUUAAUACAGAGGAUCUUCAGGGGAGGAGACGGGCGUCCCUUGAAGCGGAGCCCACAGCGCAAGCUCGCCGCCUCUGGCGAGCGUCUUUUAGGCGGCGCUUAGGGAGGUGAAGGGGCCCCAACCCCCUCGGGCUCCCUCUUGGCUCACGGCCCCUCCAGGUCCUCGCCGCCGGUUCAGACGCCCUGUUUGCUCUCGCGGGACGCUCUGCUACGUGCUUAUCCCCGCGGCAAACUUAGACUCGGCUUAGACCUCCCUGAGGACCCUGCGGAAAGAAUCCGGCCCUCGCACCCUGUGCCCGGUCCCGGCUCCCUGUCGCCCGGUUCGCCCGGUGGUGUGUUUGGUGCUUCCGGCGCCCGACGCUCCCACGUGAGCUCGGGGCAGAGGGCGGUCACGUGUGACCUGGCUCGGGGCCUGGCUCGCGCGGCCCUGCUUCUGCUUCAGCAUGUCGACCUCUCCGGCCGUGCGCCGACACCCAGCCCGCCGGUAGCCGCGUGUGGAGACGGAAGCGAAAGGAGAGCCGAGGCUCCGGGCUCGCAAGGUCCUCGGGGCCCUACCGCUUCCUCCGCACCUCCUGACCCGGACCCUGCGCCCACCCCUGCAGGCUGCAGCGGGGACGCUUUGUCCCGACGCCCGGAGCACCGUGUGCCCAAAGGGCAGCGGGAUGCGGAGGCUCCGUUAAUCCUCAUGACAUCUUUGGGAGUGGGUGACUUCUUCAAAUUCAGGAACUCCUGCAGGUGCCCAGCUGUUGUUGGGCCGGGAGAUUCAAACGAAUCCGAAAAAGCACCCCUGAGUGGCCUGGUGAUCCAAGGAUGGGCAUCUCCUGGAGACGGGGUGCAAGACGGAUGCAGAAGAGGCAACGGGGGCAGGAUGAAUACUCAGCUGGGCAUUCUGGAAUUUCCAGGGCCAUCUCCUUAAAAUGCAGUAAGAAUUUAUCAGCAUCUCCAGCCCCCACACGAACAGGCCUGGAGGAGACCAGAAUGAAGAGGGACGGACCUGCCUCCUGGAGUCCUGAGGCCCAAGGGCCGGUCCACCGCCUGGCUGUUGUAUCCUCGCAGUUUAUUCUGAGUCUUGGGAUCCUCAACCAUAAACUGGAGAUACCUCUUACCUCACAAGCCCACAGGAUCAGAUGGAGUAAGUGUUAGUCGCUCAGUCUUUACAACCCCAUGGACUGUAGCCCGCCAGGCUCCUCUGUCCACGGGAUUUCCCGGCAAGAGUACUGGAGUGGGUUGCCAUUCCCUUCUCCAGGGGAUCUUCCCGACCCAGGAUCGAGCCCGCGGGCCCUGCAUUGGCUGAUGGACUCUUCACCACUGUGCCACCACGGAGGCCCCCAGAGAGAGUAAAGCUUGUUGCAAAUUGUAAAUUUCUGUGGGAUUGUUUUUUACUGCCGAAACCACCCAUCCAUCACCAGGCAGUUCUUCAAAUAAGAGCCAGAUCUCUCUCCCGUGGCAAGAAUCGUGACUAAUAUAUUCCAGGAUGCUUUGCAUGUUCUCGGCCUUAAAAUAAAACUGCACCCAAACAGGAAUGCA